rnacentral:rRNA from 1 species
AGGGAGUUUGAUCCUGGCUCAGGAUGAACGCUGGCGGCGUGCCUAACACAUGCAAGUCGAACGGUUAAACCGCCUUCGGGCGGACAUAAAGUGGCGAACGGGUGAGUAACACGUGACCAACCUGCCCCGCGCACCGGGACAGCCCCCCGAAAGGGGGAUUGAUACCGGAUACUCCGCUCCCGCCGCAUGGCGGGGGCGGGAAAGCUCCGGCGGCGCGGGAUGGGGUCGCGGCCCAUCAGGUAGACGGCCGGGUAGAGGCCGGCCGUGCCGACGACGGGUAGCCGGGUUGAGAGACCGACCGGCCACAUUGGGACUGAGAUACGGCCCAGACUCCUACGGGAGGCAGCAGUGGGGAAUAUUGCGCAAUGGGGGCAACCCUGACGCAGCAACGCCGCGUGCGGGACGAAGGCAUUCGUGUCGUAAACCGCUUUCAGCAGGGAAGACAUCGACGGUACCUGCAGAAGAAGCCCCGGCUAACUACGUGCCAGCAGCCGCGGUAACACGUAGGGGGCGAGCGUUAUCCGGAUUCAUUGGGCGUAAAGCGCGCGCAGGCGGCCGGCCAAGCGGGACCUCUAAUCUCGGGGCUCAACCUCGAGCCGGGUCCCGAACUGGCCGGCUCGCUCCAGGUAGGGGCAGGCGGAAUUCCCGGUGUAGCGGUGGAAUGCGCAGAUAUCGGGAGGAACACCGACGGCGAAGGCAGCCUGCUGGGCCUCGGAGGACGCUGAGGCGCGAAAGCCGGGGGAGCGAACAGGAUUAGAUACCCUGGUAGUCCCCU